AAGAGGAGAGAGGCGGAUUCCCUGAAGCAGAGAAGAAACCUAUUUCUUUGGAGAUCUAUUAUCCCUUCUGAAACCCUGAAUACCUCCACUAAGACUUUCAGUUACAGCAGUCUAAAAUCCUCAAGUGGGAUUGUGGCUUUGAACUUUGAACAGAGAGACAUCCACAGACCCCUUUCCUAAGAUUUCUCUCCUUUUCUCCCUUUCCCUUACCUGUCCCUGGACUCAUACAUUCAAGAUCCAGCUAGUUGAGAGUAGGGACAAGAAAGCAGUUGGCAAAAGGGAGAAGUCAGGGCUGAGAAGCCUGUGACCUCUAGACUCUGGGGAGACAAUCUGCUAGAGGGGACAAUCUCUAGGGCUUCCCUGUUUACCCACUUUCCUGCCUGAUAUCUUUGUCAUUCCCUUCCUGCUUGAACCCCAAUAAAUUAUUUUACAUCUAAGAUUUAGGUUUGGGCCAGUCUCUAAACAACAUAGUUAAGGGAAUUGAAGAUUUGGGGAGGGUCACAUCUCUCCCCAAAAGAGGAUUGACUUCUAGAACCCAAUGAUUCAAGGAACUGACAUCUUUCCUUGGCAGUUAACCACUCCUAAGACCCUGAAAGGGGUUGACAGUUAAUGUCCCUGGGGGAAGCAGAGGCAUAAGAGAUCAUCUUGCCUCUUAAAGGGAGGCAUCCUGCCAUCUCACUAAGGCAAUCCCACUUUAGUCUCCUGUCCUCCAUCUCCCAGAAAAUAUUCCUGUGGAGACAUACUCCUUUUCUCCAAGGGGACAGAACCUGGCUUAUCUCCACCCAGAAAUAAGAGAGGAGAAGAAUAAAUAGAAUAAUCCUUUCAAUCUCUCUCACCUCUAUUCCCUCUCUCUCCCCACUAUCUCUUCUCCUUCAUUACACUAGUCACAUGACCAUAAGUAAGUCAGUUAACUUCUCUAUGCCUUUGUUUCCUUGAGGAUAAAAAUAAGAAGAGUGAUACUUAAACUUACUUCCUCAUAAAAGUGUUAGAAGGAUUUUUUUUAAUCUUAAAGUUAUAUAAAUAUCAGUUAUUUCCAUUAUUAUCACUCUAUUUCCCAAGGAAAAAAAGUGAUCUCUACCCCCUCUAAACUUUUAUUUUCUUUGUAACUCUUCUACAUACUAAAAUAUUUUGUUUUUGUAUUAUAGCUAUUUGUAUGUGUACAAUCUUUUUUAACAGGCUGUAAGAUUUUUGAGGAAUAAUAAAGUGGAGGAAUUCCAUGGAGACUGGAACAACCUCCAGGAAGUGAUGCAGAGCAAAAGGAGCAGAACCAGGAAAACAUUGUACACAGAGACUGAUACAUUGUGGUACAAUCGAAGAUACUUCAAGCAGAGUGUAGGAAGGAACCUGAGAAGUAAUCACAUCAAAACCCUUCAUUUUACUAGUGAAGAAACCAAGGCUCAUAGAGGUUAGGUGAUUUGUCCAGGCCACACAGCUAAUGUUUGAGGAAACUAGGGCAAGAUCAAGGAGUCUGUGUGAACAUAAACUGAGCAGCAAUCAGCAGUCUGAGAAGUGCUGGAAGUCCAUAUGGAACUCCCUGCUAAAUUUUCCUUUGCAGAAACACUGCUGAAGUAGGGGGUCAUAUAUCCCACUUCCCUAUAGGAAGUGGAAUUAAUUCCCUCUUGGGAAUUAAAUUAAAUUAAAGGGAUCAAAUCAGGAUAGAGCAAGUCUUGGGGAUCCAUUUCUAAUAAAUAAAUACAAAAAAGAUGCUGCUCACCUUGUAGUCAACAAAGAUACUUAUAAUGAACUUAUCCAAUAAUCAGCAUAUCUCUUGAGGGCCUACUGUCUAUUGUGAAGGCUGUAUGGAGUAGUGAAAAGAAUUCUGAAUUUUGAGUUAGUAGUGACCUAGUUGAAAAUUCUCCCUUCAAUACCUGUUAUGUCACCAGGGAUAAAUGACUUUAGCUUCCUGAUGCUCAUUUUCCUUAUCUAUAAAAUAAAGAUGAUGAAGUGACUAUAUCACAAGGUAGUUGUGAAGCAAAAAUAGAAAUAUAUAUAUAUAUAUAUACAUAUAUAUAUACAUGAAGUACUUUGAAAUUCUUAAAGAGUUGUAUGAAUGUUACCUAUUUUAUCUGCUCUAGCACACCAUAUUUAUCUCUAUGGCAUCCAUCCCAGAACUAAUAAGAAGAUGGGGAAAGGAAAUGACCCUUUCCCUGCCCUCAAGGAGUUUGUGAUGUCCUUAAAAAAACAAAAAUAAUAUCUAUGAAACAAUUAGAAUUCGAAACAAGACAGAGAGUACACAGGUAAGCCUCUUCCCCUCAUUCACAGAAGACUUUUCUGGUUGUUUCUGAAUAUAAGAAGUAUGCAUUGGGAGAUGAAACCAAGACUGAAUUAUGCAUAGAUCUAGGGAGAGACUGAAGCAUGCAUAUCCCAAAGGAAUCCACUUGCAUCAAUGAGCUGCUGCUAGAAUUAGACCCUAAGAUUGUGACAGAGACAAAGACUGAGGGUGUGCAUAUUCUGAGACUGGGAGAUAGCAGGAGAUAGAAAAAGAAGCAGAGAACUUAAGGUCAUCACAUCUACAUGACUUCUUUAAGACAGAGCAGUGACUAAAGAAAAACACUGGGUAUUAGAGCUUCAAAAAAGAACAUCAUAAUAAAGAGAUAGGGCAAAGACCCUUGAAGCAGGAAAACACAUUCCAAGGAAUAAAGAAGCCAAGAGCCAUAAUGUGGAGGAACAAGCUAAGACUUUGCCCUUAACUGGUACUCUAGCCACGUAGACAGUGUGUUAGCCUUGAAAGAUUUUGUUAGAGCCCCUAAAACGUUAUUUUCCCAUGGAAAAAGUAGGGACCAACAUUAGGAGAAGGUUAAAUGACUCUAGGAACUCUGACCCAUACAGGAUAAUACUAUAAGUCAAAAGGUUUGUACAGCUGCUGUGGGAACAUUUUUAGCAGAGGUGAGUGGGAUGUUUUCCUGAUUAUCUGUAGCUAAAGUAUGUUUAUUAGUUUUUCUUGUAAAAAAUAGCUGGUGCCCUUUGGGAGACAACAAAGCAAGACAGGUACUGAUAGUCCCAAAGUGUCCCUAGGUGGAAUUAUGAACUAGAGUUUUUUUAGGGUUUUCUUUGUAUAUAUAUCUAAGUGUAAGGGGUGGCAGCGUUUCGAGACAAAAGCCAGAUGCUAAAAUUUCCAAAAGAUUGUCUUCCUAAGGUCAUCAGCCAAAAUAAUUUUUCAGGAGACCUCCAAAACCAGCAUAAAAUGUAACAUAUAUGUCAUCUAGGCCCUGGCCCCUGAAAUGUCAAUAUCUAGCUCAUUUUAGUCUCAAAAAAAAGUUUGGUCUAAGCUCCCCAGCAAGAAUUCUAGCUCACAAGAAAUUGAAUCAUUUAAUCAAUUAGCAAGGAUUUAUAAAAUAUAUAUUAUGUGUCAGGUACAUACAUUCCUGCUAAGAAUAAAAGAGACAAAAAUUAAAGUCCUUAAAAAACUCAGUGAGAUUACAUGCCAAUGUGGUUGGAUGAAAGAGUACAUGAAAGAGAGUCAAGUAUUAUAAUUCUGGAAAGAUAGGUUAGAACAAAGUUGUGACUUUAAAAAAAUUUUAAUGCAUAUUUAUGUUUUAUCCAAGAGUCAAUAGUGAGUCACCAGAGUUAACUGAGCAGGAAACAAACAUAGCCAGAUUUGUACUUUCAAAAUAUAGCUACCAUGUGGAGCAUGAAUUGGAGGAAUAAAAGACUUGAAUCAGGGAGGCCAAUAUGUAACCUAUUAGAAUAGUCCAAAUGAAAGUCUCAACUGGGAUAGUGCCUUAUGUUAAUGGAGGGAAGGGGAUGGAAGUAAAAGAUCUUGUGGAUAGAAAAUUGACAAGAUUUGACAAUUGAUUGUAUAUGUGAGGUAAGAGAAAAUGAGUUGAGGAGAUUACAAAAUUGUGAAUCUGGAUGCC